rnacentral:tRNA from 1 species
ACCUGGGUGGCUCAGUUGGUUGAGUGUCUGACUUCAACUCAGGUCAUGAUCUCACAGCUUGUGGGUUCCAGCCCUGCACCAGGCU